rnacentral:rRNA from 1 species
GAUGAACGCUGGCGGCGUGCCUAAUACAUGCAAGUCGAGCGAACAGACGAGGAGCUUGCUCCUCUGACGUUAGCGGCGGACGGGUGAGUAACACGUGGAUAACCUACCUAUAAGACUGGGAUAACUUCGGGAAACCGGAGCUAAUACCGGAUAAUAUAUUGAACCGCAUGGUUCAAUAGUGAAAGGCGGUUUUGCUGUCACUUAUAGAUGGAUCCGCGCCGCAUUAGCUAGUUGGUAAGGUAACGGCUUACCAAGGCGACGAUGCGUAGCCGACCUGAGAGGGUGAUCGGCCACACUGGAACUGAGACACGGUCCAGACUCCUACGGGGGGCAGCAGUAGGGAAUCUUCCGCAAUGGGCGAAAGCCUGACGGAGCAACGCCGCGUGAGUGAUGAAGGUCUUCGUAUCGUAAAACUCUGUUAUUAGGGAAGAACAAAUGUGUAAGUAACUAUGCACGUCUUGACGGUACCUAAUCAGAAAGCCACGGCUAACUACGUG